rnacentral:rRNA from 1 species
GAUGAACGCUAGCGGCAGGCUUAAUACAUGCAAGUCAAGGGGCCAGCAAUGGCACCGGCGGACGGGUGAGUAACGCGUACACAACGUACCUUUAACUGGGGGAUAGCAUCUGGAAACGGGUGGUAAUACCGCAUGUGGUUGCGGGGAGGCAUCUCCUUGUAACUAAAACUUUGGUGGUUAGAGAUCGGUGUGCGUCUGAUUAGCUAGUUGGUAGGGUAGAGGCCUACCAAGGCGACGAUCAGUAGGGGGCGUGAGAGCGUGAACCCCCACACGGGUACUGAGACACGGACCCGACUCCUACGGGAGGCAGCAGUAAGGAAUAUUGGUCAAUGGAGGGAACUCUGAACCAGCCAUGCCGCGUGAAGGAAGAAGGCGCUACGCGUUGUAAACUUCUUUUGGGUGGGACGAAAAUAAUCCAUUUAUGGAUAGCUGACGGUACCAUCAGAAUAAGCACCGGCUAACUCCGUGCCAGCAGCCGCGGUAAU